rnacentral:rRNA from 1 species
CAGUAGCCGCGGUAAUACGAAGGUCCCAAGCGUUGUUCGGAAUCACUGGGCGUAAAGGGAGCGUAGGCGGCGUGGUAAGUCAGAUGUGAAAUCCCGGGGCUCAACCCCGGAACUGCAUCCGAUACUGCCAUGCUUGAGGGUUGGAGAGGUAGCUGGAAUUCUUGGUGUAGCAGUGAAAUGCGUGGAUAUCAAGAGGAACACUCGUGGCGAAGGCGAGCUACUGGACAACAUCUGACGCUGAGGCUCGAAGGCCAGGGUAGCGAAAGGGAUUAGAUACCCCUGUAGUCCCUGUCUCUUAUAC